rnacentral:rRNA from 1 species
CCUACGGGAGGCAGCAGUGGGGAAUAUUGGACAAUGGACCAAAAGUCUGAUCCAGCAAUUCUGUGUGCACGAUGACGUUUUUCGGAAUGUAAAGUGCUUUCAGUUGGGAAGAAAAAAAUGACGGUACCAACAGAAGAAGUGACGGCUAAAUACGUGCCAGCAGCCGCGGUAAUACGUAUGUCACAAGCGUUAUCCGGAUUUAUUGGGCGUAAAGCGCGUCUAGGUGGUUAUGUAAGUCUGAUGUGAAAAUGCAGGGCUCAACUCUGUAUUGCGUUGGAAACUGCAUGACUAGAGUACUGGAGAGGUAAGCGGAACUACAAGUGUAGAGGUGAAAUUCGUAGAUAUUUGUAGGAAUGCCGAUGGGGAAGCCAGCUUACUGGACAGAUACUGACGCUAAAGCGCGAAAGCGUGGGUAGCAAACAGGAUUAGAUACCCGAGU